rnacentral:lncRNA from 1 species
CUCCAGUGGAAUAAUGUUGCAGCCUUGCCAGCAGAUUUUACCUCUGCACUUAAGGAGAGUUCUUUAGAUAACAUUAGUGAAGAGAAAUGAGCAAUCACCCCAGCUCCAUCUCCCAGCUCAACCCGCAAAUCCUGGAGUCUGAGAGGAAAGGAACUGUCAAGAGUAUGAAAUUCACCACAUCUCAAAGCACCUGCACCUCCAUCAGAGUAAGGAAGCACAAGACAUCCUCUGGGUAUGAUGAGCCUCCUCCUGAGAUCCUGAGGGGUAAGCCAGGGCCGGAUAACUCAGCAUCUCUUGUACCCCACCAUGGAGAGGGUACUGGCCCAUCACCUGAGGAAAGAAACUCUCAGCUCAUCUUGGGCCCAACUUCUCAUUCUGCUGAUGUUUGAG